GCGAACGCUUGCGGCAGGCCUAACACAUGCAAGUCGAACGAACCUUUCGGGGUUAGUGGCGGACGGGUGAGUAACACGUGGGAACGUGCCUUUAGGUUCGGAAUAACUCAGGGAAACUUGUGCUAAUACCGAAUGUGCCCUUCGGGGGAAAGAUUUAUCGCCUUUAGAGCGGCCCGCGUCUGAUUAGCUAGUUGGUUGAGGUAAUGGCUCACCAAGGCGACGAUCAGUAGCUGGUCUGAGAGGAUGAUCAGCCACAUUGGGACUGAGACACGGCCCAAACUCCUACGGGAGGCAGCAGUGGGGAAUCUUGCGCAAUGGGCGAAAGCCUGACGCAGCCAUGCCGGGUGAAUGAUGAAGGUCUUAGGAUUGUAAAAUUCUUUCACCGGGGACGAUAAUGACGGUACCCGGAGAAGAAGCCCCGGCUAACUUCGUG
rnacentral:rRNA from 1 species